GCAAACUUGGUCAUUUAGAGGAAGUAAAAGUCGUAACAAGGUCUCCGUAGGUGAACCUGCGGAGGGAUCAUUACUGAGUUUCGCACCCCCUCGCGGGGUCAGACUCCCACCCUGUGUAUGUUUAUACCUUUGUUGCUUUGGCAGGCCGCUGGGCUUUCUUGAGGGCUCCUUUCGAGCUCUCGAGCGCCUGGCCACCGGCUUUCUGGGCUGGUGUGCGCCUGCCAGAGGACCCUCAAACUCAUUUUGUCAGUGUUGUCUGAGUAAACUUGAUAAUUGUUAAAACUUUCAACAACGGAUCUCUUGGUUCUGGCAUCGAUGAAGAACGCAGC
rnacentral:misc_RNA from 1 species